GCCGCCCGCCCAUCCUCGCCUUCCUCCCGCCGCCCGCCGGUCCUCUGCCGCCGCCGCUGCCAGCCGGUCCUCUUCUCCGCCGCCGCCAGCAUGAGCAGCCGCCCGCAUCCUUUUAUUGUGAUGAACCAUUUCUUUUCCAGGACAAAGAUAUACUUAUAAAAACAUUGGAUGGUGUUCGAAGAUAUUAUGCACACCGCAAAGGCCUUCUGCAACUUGACUUUAUCAAGGUACAUUAACCCCAAGGAAGUUUUAAAACGGAUUAAAGAGUCAACUAGAUGGUCUGACGAGCUGGAUGAUUAUGAGCUACAACUUGGUUAAAGUUAUUCUCUUUUAACAAGGUCAUAUGAAACUUUUAAAGAAAUAUAUGAGUGAAUUGGACACAACUUCCGCAAGCAGCAGCAUGCCCGAGGCAUAUCAAUGUGCCUAGGUGCCAAUGUGCUGAAGGCCAUGCUCGUAGGUUUUUCUUAACUCCUCAAGAUGUCAGCACUUUCCAAUUCGGUGCAGAAUCAAUGUUGUUUGUUGUUCUAUUUGGUGCAGGAUCAAUGUUGUUUGUUGUUCUGUUCCAUGAUUCCUGCGAUUUUUUUUGUUUCAUCAAAGGUGGUGUGGCUAUGAUACUAAGGGAGACUGUGUGGCGGUGUUUCAGGUUCGAGAUCAUUCAGUAGUGCCUCAUCAAGAAAGUGUGCUCAAUUCUUGGCUUUAAAGAGAUUAGCUUCAAGAGAGCAAAUGAAUAUGACGAUCACUGAAAAACAGGUCGGUCUUUCUAGAUCGGAAGGAAUUUUUUUAGCUUGGCCUUUGAGUUUCAUAAAUUCAGAAUAAGUUCCUACACCUGUCGUAACUGGACAAAUCAUGCAUGCACGGCUCAGGAAUGAGGACUCUAAAAUGGAUGGAGGAGGAGCUAUAGUUCAGCAGCCAAAUACAGCAGGCAUGCACAACUAUAUCAUAUUACAGUACUUAAUGGAAGCACUUUUCUUUAACUUUCUUCCAUGAUUUUCAUUAUGUGAAUUUGAUUACUAUGAUGCCAGGUAACUUGACUAUUCAAUAUCUGUAUUUGAGGUCUACACCUAAUAAUUUUCUUUCUAAAGAACACCUCUGAAGUUUCAUUACACAUGGGAUGAAUCACUAGAAACUCGAGUAUUUAGUGUUUGCAUUUCACGAUAUUUUCCCCUAUAUCGUCCUCUUAUACCUCAGUUGCUAACUAAAUAUAGUAAUUGUUAUGGUCAUUACAAAGGACUAGCUUGAUAUGUAUUCCAAAAUAUAUCCUUUCUAUGAUUUUGUCAUUUCUUUCACAGUUUAAUUAUACCUCUUAACUACUCAUGUGAA